rnacentral:lncRNA from 1 species
CUUUUUUGCGUGCCAAGGAGAAGAAGCGAAGUUGGGGGUUUCCUGACUGUUCGUUUGUUCGGCUUUAGGAAAAGGGGCAACGCCUCCUCUCGUUUUUUCCCUUCCGAAAGCCUCGGCACAUCGCUAGAAGACACCGCAUUCCAACGAAACGCGUGCGUUCUCUACCGUUGCUGCUCGACCGAGAAACUGGUGUUUCUGCAGAGACAACUUGGUGCGUUCCAUGCAAGUCUGCGUUGCGUCUUCACUUGCACAGAGACGAAGGAGUUACUCGAAAGCGCGUGGUGUCUGCAACAAAGGCACAUGCUGGGGGUUUGUUCGUGUUUUCCUUCGUAAAAGCAGGAAGCGGUUUCCGGAACCCACACGGCACAAACGACUGGACGCGGCAGGGAUCUCUCGUCUGUGUCUCUCUCGCACCCAUUGACUUCCAACUUCUUCGACUGAGCGUCCGCGAUUCGUCUGAAGGCUCGCUUUGCAGACAUGCUUCGCUCCCGCGUUUCUAUCCGGGGGUUCGCGCUUGUGCUCACAGCCGCGUUUCAUAAAAAGCGAUACGGCAGUGCUGCGGGUGAGGAAAACAGACGCGCUUCUCUCUGCUUUUAGAAUGUGUCAAGGUCGCUCAGUGCGAACACUCUGAACUCACAACUCUUUCGCCUCUCUUGUUGACGACGCCGAAUGCUACGACUUCUCUUCCGCCACAUCCGUUUCAUCUGAGGAGCGCGCCGCGACACGAUUUCUGCCGUGUGUGUUGCCUCUGAGUUUUUCGACUCGCCCCUUUCUUCUUCGAAACACAGUUUUCAUUUUUAUGACAAAAAUGCAAGGUGUGUCGAGCAACAAAAGGUAGCAGCGCUUGAAAAGAGAGGGUACUCGCGGUACAAACACCUGGAUCGUCUCACUCUGGCAGUUGUCUGUGCACCUGUUUGAAGCCUCCUGAGUCUUCCGGACCUGCGAGGACCCCUCCGCGCAGUAGUUGCGCAGAGAGGUCGCCAUACGUUCCAAGCAAAGCCGUCAUUACGAACACUGCAGAAAACGCGCUUGCAAUUCGCACACUUCGUUCUGGACCAGCGAAGCAACAUCACGAGAGUUCCACUCGUCCACGUGGGUGCGCACCUGCAAACUUGUCUUCGCCUUUUACACGGUAGUGUUUUAGUGAAGACGGAAGUCUGCGACAGUGCGAAAUGCGCGCCACAGCGAGGACAGCCG